GACGAACGCUGGCGGCGUGCUUAACACAUGCAAGUCGAACGAAGUGGCGAAUGGGUGAGUAACGCGCAAUCAACCUGCCCUUCAGAGGGGGACAACAGUUGGAAACGACUGCUAAUACCGCAUACUGAAGGAGGGGAUUGUGUCCGAUUAGCUAGUUGGAGGGGUACAGGCCCACCAAGGCGAUGAUCAGUAGCCGGUCUGAGAGGAUGACCGGCCACAUUGGGACUGAGACACGGCCCAGACUCCUACGGGAGGCAGCAGUGGGGAAGCUUCCGCAAUGGACGAAAGUCUGACGGAGCAACGCCGCGUGAGUGAUGACGGCCUUCGGGUUGUAAAGCUCUGUUAAUCGGGACGCGGUACCGGAAUAGAAAGCCACGGCUAACUACGUGCCAGCAGCCGCGGUAAUUC
rnacentral:rRNA from 1 species